GCCAGCUCAGUUGGGGAAGCAUGAGACUCUUAAUCCCAGGGCUGUGGGUUCAAGCUCCACGUUGGGCA